CGGCAGCACGGGUGCUUGCACCUGGUGGCGAGUGGCGAACGGGUGAGUAAUACAUCGGAACGUGUCCUGGAGUGGGGGAUAGCCCGGCGAAAGCCGGAUUAAUACCGCAUACGCUCUAUGGAGGAAAGCGGGGGAUCUUCGGACCUCGCGCUCAAGGGGCGGCCGAUGGCAGAUUAGCUAGUUGGUGGGGUAAAGGCCUACCAAGGCGACGAUCUGUAGCUGGUCUGAGAGGACGACCAGCCACACUGGGACUGAGACACGGCCCAGACUCCUACGGGAGGCAGCAGUGGGGAAUUUUGGACAAUGGGGGCAACCCUGAUCCAGCAAUGCCGCGUGUGUGAAGAAGGCCUUCGGGUUGUAAAGCACUUUUGUCCGGAAAGAAAACUUCGGGGUUAAUACCUCUGGAGGAUGACGGUACCGGAAGAAUAAGCACCGGCUAACUACGUGCCAGCAGCCGCGGUAAUACGUAGGGUGCGAGCGUUAAUCGGAAUUACUGGGCGUAAAGCGUGCGCAGGCGGUGAUGUAAGACCGAUGUGAAAUCCCCGGGCUUAACCUGGGAACUGCAUUGGUGACUGCAUCGCUCGAGUAUGGCAGAGGGGGGUAGAAUUCCACGUGUAGCAGUGAAAUGCGUAGAGAUGUGGAGGAAUACCGAUGGCGA
rnacentral:rRNA from 1 species